ensembl:snRNA U2 U2 spliceosomal RNA
AUUUCAACUAUGGACACCCCAUAGAACUGUGCAUGGUGUAGUAUCUGUUCUUAUCAGUUUAAUAUCUGAUACAUCCUCUAUUUGAGGACUAUGUGUUAAAUGAAUUUUUGGGCCUGGGAGAUUGAAUAGGGGCUUGCUCCAUACAAAAAAAAAAAAAAAAAAAAGGGGGGGGGAAGAACUGUGCAUGGUUUUUUCAGUUUUGUUUUCAU